rnacentral:piRNA from 1 species
UCUGGUGGCUUUUGGGAAGGCACUGU